rnacentral:rRNA from 1 species
UAAUACGAAGGGGGCUAGCGUUGCUCGGAAUCACUGGGCGUAAAGGGCGCGUAGGCGGAUCUUUAAGUCGGGGGUGAAAGCCCAGGGCUCAACCCUGGAAUUGCCUUCGAUACUGAAGAUCUCGAGACCGGAAGAGGUAAGUGGAACUGCGAGUGUAGAGGUGAAAUUCGUAGAUAUUCGCAAGAACACCAGUGGCGAAGGCGGCUUACUGGUCCGGUUCUGACGCUGAGGCGCGAAAGCGUGGGGAGCAAACAGGAUUAGAUACCCUGGUAGUCCACGCCGUAAACGAUGGAUGCUAGCCGUUGGCGAGCUUGCUCGUCAGUGGCGCAGUUAACGCUUUAAGCAUCCCGCCUGGGGAGUACGGUCGCAAGAUUA